rnacentral:rRNA from 1 species
AUACGGAGGGUGCAAGCGUUGUCCGGAUUUAUUGGGUUUAAAGGGUGCGUAGGCGGAUAAUUAAGUCAGUGGUGAAAGACUGCAGCUCAACUGUAGAGGUGCCAUUGAUACUGAUUAUCUUGAGUACAGUUGAGGUAGGCGGAAUUUAUGGUGUAGCGGUGAAAUGCAUAGAUACCAUAAAGAACACCGAUAGCGAAGGCAGCUUACUGGACUGUAACUGACGCUGAGGCACGAAAGCGUGGGGAGCGAACGGGAUUAGAAACCCCUGUAGUCC